UACAGAGGUCCCGAGCGUUGUUCGGAUUCACUGGGCGUAAAGGGUGCGCAGGUGGGUUGGCAAGUUUGAUGUGAAAGCCCCGGGCUUAACCCGGGAAUGGCAUUGAAUACUGCUGAUCUGGAGGAUCGGAGGGGGGACUGGAAUUCUUGGUGUAGCAGUGAAAUGCGUAGAUAUCAAGAGGAACACCAGUGGCGAAGGCGAGUUCCUGGACGAUACCUGACACUGAGGCACGAAAGCCAAGGGAGCAAACAGG
rnacentral:rRNA from 1 species